UCUAAAUAUGGACUGAACCACAGUGUGCUCCUUGGGAGAAAACCUACUCCAUGAGAGUGGUCUGAGGAAUGUUUUGGCAUUUGACCAUCAGAUUGAGAAAGUAAUGAUUGGACUUUUACCUUGAUAUACAUUUCCCCAAAAUCAGAUACUGCAAUAUGCUCUGGAUAAAUCGUAUGCUUCUUUUCAUUUUGAAUCUUUAUUCUAACACACAACUGUCCCAGGGGCCAGACAUUGAGGUUUAGAAGAUGGGAAUUUUUCCCUGGAAAAGAUUCUGACUGAAAAAUAUCUUAAUUAAUCAGACUUUAUCAUGUGCAUUCAAAGGAUUAAGUUCAACUUGAAGCCUCAACAUUCCCACCACCAUCCUCCAUUGUUGGAACAGCUGCCCAGCCCUUACAUAUGACAAGAGAAAAUGGGAGGAGCAGGAAGGCAGGACACCUUAGGCAUAAAAGGCUGUGUUUCAUCUUUACUGCUGAGUCCUCGUAAAAGUGGCAGCCAUUCUCGUGGAUUGGAAUUCCCUGCCCCUGAUCUUAGGUGGACAAUUGUUGAUUGUGUCUGUCUACCAUGGAAAGAUUUGGUUUACUGAGGAAGUACUUUGGCAUUGGCAGGAGGUUGAUAAGAAUACAAUCAUUCUACCUCCGCUAUUCAUCUUGAACAUCCUGCAUCCUGACACCUGCUGAGCCAUUAAAGGAAGAGGGGAAUGAGAGAGAGGGUGAAAACCCCCAACUUGCUGUCUUGUCAUAUCAGUGCAGUGAGAAGACAACCGAGGUGACAGACUCUGAUCUGGUUUGCUCUUUCUUC